rnacentral:rRNA from 1 species
UAUAUUCUGUAGCAAGGUUAACCGAAUAGGGGAGCCGGAGGGAAACCGAGUCUUAAUUGGGCGUUAAGUUGCAGGGUAUAGACCCGAAACCCGGUGAUCUAGCCAUGGGCAGGUUGAAGGGUGGGUAACACUAACUGGAGGACCGAACCGACUAAUGUUGAAAAAUUAGCGGAUGACCUGUGGCUGGGGGUGAAAGGCCAAUCAAACCGGGAGAUAGCUGGUUCUCCCCGAAAGCUAUUUAGGUAGCGCCUCGUGAAUUCAUCUCCGGGGGUAGAGCACUGUUUCGGCUAGGGGGCCAUCCCGGCUUACCAACCCGAUGCAAACUGCGAAUACCGGAGAAUGUUAUCACGGGAGACACACGGCGGGUGCUAACGUCCGUCGUGAAGAGGGAAACAACCCAGACCGCCAGCUAAGGUCCCAAAGUCAUGGUUAAGUGGGAAACGAUGUGGGAAGGCCCAGACAGCCAGGAUGUUGGCUUAGAAGCAGCCAUCAUUUAAAGAAAGCGUAAUAGCUCACUGGUCGAGUCGGCCUGCGCGGAAGAUGUAACGGGGCUAAACCAUG